rnacentral:rRNA from 1 species
GACGUAGCGACAGAGAGCACGCUACUCGUGCAGCAGCGCGUAUACGAGGGUGCGAGCGUAUCGAAUUACUGGGCGUAAAGCGCAUGCAGGUGGUUGUUAAGUCAGAGUGAAAGCCCGGGGCUCUCUCGGAUAGCAUUUGAACCUGGCCAGACUAGAGUACUGUAGAGGGGGGUAGAAUUUCAGGUGUAGCGGUGAAAUGCGUAGAGAUCUGAAGGAAUACCGGUGGCGAAGGGCGGCCCCCUGGACAGAUACUGACAUUCAGAUGCGAAAGCGUGGGGAGCAAACAGGAUUAGAUACCCUGGUAGUCCACGCCGUAAACGAUGUCUACUUGGAGGUUGUGGCCUGAGCCGUGGCUUUCGGAGCUAACGCGUUAAGUAGACCGCCUGGGGAGUACGGUCGCAAGAUUAAAACUCAAAUGAAUUGACGGGGGCCCGCACAAGCGGUGGAGCAUGUGGUUUAAUUCGAUGCAACGCGAAGAACCUUACCUACUCUUGACAUCCAGAGAACUUUCCAGAGAUGGAUUGGUGCCUUCGGGAACUCUGAGACAGGUGCUGCAUGGCUGUCGUCAGCUCGUGUUGUGAAAUGUUGGGUUAAGUCCCGCAACGAGCGCAACCCUUAUCCUUGUUUGCCAGCGAGUAAUGUCGGGAACUCCAGGGAGACUGCCGGUGAUAAACCGGAGGAAGGUGGGGACGACGUCAAGUCAUCAUGGCCCUUACGAGUAGGGCUACACACGUGCUACAAUGGCGCAUACAGAGGGCGGCCAACUUGCGAAAGUGAGCGAAUCCCAAAAAGUGCGUCGUAGUCCGGAUUGGAGUCUGCAACUCGACUCCAUGAAGUCGGAAUCGCUAGUAAUCGUGGAUCAGAAUG